rnacentral:rRNA from 1 species
AGAGUUUGAUCAUGGCUCAGGAUAAACGCUGGCGGCGUGCCUAACACAUGCAAGUCGAACGCCCUUAGCAAUAAGGGAGUGGCGGACGGGUGAGGAACACGUGGGUUAUCUACCUUUCGGUGAGGAAUACCGGCGAGAAAUCGCCGACAAUACCGCAUACGCUCGCAAGAGCAAAGUUCGCAAGAGCGCCGGAAGAUGAGCCUGCGGCCGAUUAGUUAGUUGGUGGGGUAACGGCCUACCAAGGCGACGAUCGGUAGCUGGUCUGAGAGGACGAUCAGCCACACUGGGAUUGAGAACGGCCCAGACUCCUACGGGGGGCAGCAGUGAGGAAUUUUCGUCAAUGGGGGCAACCCUGAACGAGCAACGCCGCGUGCAGGAAGAAGGUUUUCGGAUCGUAAACUGCUUUUCUCUGGGACGAGAACGGACGGUACCAGAGGAAUCAGCCUCGGCUAACUACGUGCCAGCAGCCGCGGUAAUACGUAGGAGGCAAGCGUUGUCCGGAUUUAUUGGGCGUAAAGCGCACGCAGGCGGUCGUAUCAGUCCAGGGUGACAGUUUCCGGCUUAACCGGAAAAGGACUCUGGAGACGGCACGACUUGAGGGCUUCAGAGGGAUGUGGAAUUCCAGGUGGAGUGGUGAAAUGCGUAGAGAUCUGGAAGAACACCAAAGGCGAAGGCAACAUCCUGGGGAGUCACUGACGCUCGGGUGCGAAAGCUAGGGGAGCGAACGGGAUUAGAUACCCUAGUAGUCC